UACAGAGGUCUCAAGCGUUGUUCGGAUUCAUUGGGCGUAAAGGGUGCGUAGGUGGCGCUGUAAGUCGGGUGUGAAAUUUCGGAGCUUAACUCCGAAACUGCAUUCGAUACUGCGGUGCUUGAGGACUGGAGAGGAGACUGGAAUUCAUGGUGUAGCAGUGAAAUGCGUAGAGAUCAUGGGGAAGACCAGUGGCGAAGGCGGGUCUCUGGACAGUUCCUGACACUGAGGCACGAAGGCCAGGGGAGCAAACAGG
rnacentral:rRNA from 1 species